rnacentral:rRNA from 1 species
CCUACGGGAGGCAGCAGUGAGGAAUAUUGGUCAAUGGACGAGAGUCUGAACCAGCCAAGUAGCGUGAAGGAUGACUGCCCUAUGGGUUGUAAACUUCUUUUAUAAAGGAAUAAAACGAGGCACGUGUGCCUUUUUGCAUGUACUUUAUGAAUAAGGAUCGGCUAACUCCGUGCCAGCAGCCGCGGUAAUACGGAGGAUCCGAGCGUUGUCCGGAUUUAUUGGGUUUAAAGGGAGCGUAGAUGGGUUGUUAAGUCAGUUGUGAAAGUUUGCGGCUCAACCGUAAAAUUGCAAUUGAUACUGGUAGUCUUGAGUACAGUUGAGGUAGGCGGAAUUCGUGGUGUAGCGGUGAAAUGCUUAGAUAUCACGAAGAACCCCGAUUGCGAAGGCAGCUUACUAAACUGUGACUGACACUGAUGCUCGAAAGUGUGGGUAUCAAACAGGAUUAGAUACCCGGGUAGUC